rnacentral:tRNA from 1 species
GUUUUAAUAAUUUAAAUAAAAUAUUGAUUUUGUAAAUCAAAAAUAAGACCCCUUUUAAAACU